rnacentral:misc_RNA from 1 species
UGAAGGAAACAUAAUUUUUCAAUGAUAAUUGAUAUAAUGAAUAGAGACUAAUGCUCAAAAUACAAGAAAACAAAAUAUAAAACGAAAAAGUAAUACAACAUCUCAAACGUAACCUGUAAUAGUUGGCGCCUUAUCACAACCCACAUUGAUUUCCUCUCAGAAGAUUGAGGACGUAAGGAUACCAGCAUUGAAAGCAGCUCGGCCACUUUAUGUCUAUGUUCUGCCUUGACACCAACCCAAGACCAAAUAGCAUUCAACAAAUCUCCAUGAUUUAAGUGUAUAUCACAAGAAUCUGAAUUAAAAAAAUAUG